UAAGAAUACGCGGUGAUACACAAUAGGGGUAGAAGAGAAUUUUUUUUUUUUCACUCAGCGAAGUUGAUGAUUUAAAUAUUGGUGUUGCUUUGGUAUUUCCUGAGAAAAUCGAAGUCGCAAUUCAUUAAGCGAUAGUAAUGGGAUGGGUGGAUUGGGGUUUGAAAUCCAUUUACGUCUUUUCGAGGACGAAAGAAAAUAUAUAUGAUAACUUCAUAAUGUCUAUUAUUGGGUAGCUGAUGUUACAUGGAAUUCAUUUUGAUGCAAAUUCUAUCAUGUACCUGAGCCACGAGGAAUCUUCUACCUCACUCGCC
rnacentral:sRNA from 1 species